AACGAACGCUGGCGGCAUGCCUAACACAUGCAAGUCGAACGAAGUCUUCGGACUUAGUGGCGCACGGGUGCGUAACGCGUGGGAAUCUGCCCUUGGGUACGGAAUAACUCAGAGAAAUUUGUGCUAAUACCGUAUAAUGCCUUCGGACCAAAGAUUUAUCGCCCAAGGAUGAGCCCGCGUAAGAUUAGCUAGUUGGUGGGGUAAAAGCCUACCAAGGCGACGAUCUUUAGCUGGUCUGAGAGGAUGAUCAGCCACACUGGGACUGAGACACGGCCCAGACUCCUACGGGAGGCAGCAGUGGGGAAUAUUGGACAAUGGGCGAAAGCCUGAUCCAGCAAUGCCGCGUGAGUGAUGAAGGCCCUAGGGUUGUAAAGCUCUUUUACCAGGGAUGAUAAUGACAGUACCUGGAGAAUAAGCUCCGGCUAACUCCGUG
rnacentral:rRNA from 1 species